GAUGAACGCUGGCGGCGUGCUUAACACAUGCAAGUCGAACGAGAAUCAACGGAUUGAGGAUUCGUCCAAAUGAAGUUGAGGAAAGUGGCGGACGGGUGAGUAACGCGUGAGGAACCUGCCUCGGAGUGGGGAAUAACAGUUGGAAACGACUGCUAAUACCGCAUAAUGCUUUUGAGCGGCAUCGCUUGAAAGCCAAAGAUUUAUCGCUGAAAGAUGGUCUCGCGUCUGAUUAGCUAGUUGGUGAGGUAACGGCUCACCAAGGCGACGAUCAGUAGCCGGUCUGAGAGGAUGAACGGCCACAUUGGGACUGAGAUACGGCCCAG
rnacentral:rRNA from 1 species